CGAUGGGAGCUUGCUCCCAGGCGUCAAGCGGCGGAGGGUGAGUAACACGUGGGAAUCUGCCCAUUAGUGGGGGAUAACUCGGGGAAACUCGAGCUAAUACCGCAAAAUCCCUACGGGGGAAAGCAGGGGAUCUUCGGACCUUGCGCUGAUGGAUGAGCCCGCGUCGGAUUAGCUUGUUGGUGGGGUAAUGGCCCACCAAGGCGACGAUCCGUAACUGGUCUGAGAGGAUGGCCAGUCACACCGGGACUGAGACACGGCCCGGACUCCUACGGGAGGCAGCAGUGGGGAAUCUUGGACAAUGGGCGCAAGCCUGAUCCAGCCAUGCCGCGUGUGUGAAGAAGGCCUUCGGGUUGUAAAGCACUUUCAGUAGGGAGGAAGGCUUCGGGUUAAUACCCUGGAGUACUUGACGUUACCUACAGAAUAAGCACCGGCUAAUUUCGUGCCACCAGCCGCGGUAAUACGAAAGGUGCGAGCGUUAAUCGGAAUUACUGGGCGUAAAGCGCGCGUAGGCGGUGUGUUAAGUCGGAUGUGAAAGCCCAGGGCUCAACCUUGGAAUUGCAUCCAAUACUGGCACGCUAGAGUGCAGUACCAGGGAGGUGGAAUUUCCGGUGUAGCGGUGAAAUGCGUAGAGAUCGGAAGGAACACCAAUGGCGAAGGCGGCCUCCUGGACUGACACUGACGCUGAGGUGCGAAAGCGUGGGGGAGCAAACAGGAUUAGAUACCCUGG
rnacentral:rRNA from 1 species